AUGGCCGCCGCCGCCAGGUCUCUACUACGCUCCUCCGCCUCCGUUAUCCGUGCUGCUCCGGCGAGAUCGUCUUCCCUCGGGGUAGGCGCGCGUCCUUCCGUCCGUCGCGCGUUGGCUGCGCCCCCUCGCCUCCUCAGGUUGCCCGUGGAGGCGAGCUUCUGCCUGGAGUCCCUGCUGCCGCUGCACAGCGCCACCGCCUCAGCGCGGCUCAAGUCAAUGCUCGCCGUCGUGCCCGGCCAAGGCAUCGGCUGGAUCAUUGAAGAUAAUUGA
rnacentral:rRNA from 1 species